UAUGGCCACAACAUGUAGAAACACCAGUUCCCAUAUGAUCACUGAAGUUAAGCAAUGUUGAGCUUAGUCAGUACCUAGAUGGGUGAUUGCUUGGGAAUACCAGGUGCUGUAAG
rnacentral:rRNA from 1 species